GCCUUUUCUUACCUUUCGCUUCACUCAGCAGUCUUUUCCAUGCUUCUCUACGCUUUCCCAGGCGAGCUUCUCUUUCCUCAGCAGUCUCCUCGAGCAAACGUUGUCGUCUUCGCUCCCUCCUUUUCGCUAGACGUUCGGCUUUCUUGUCGUUUCCUUGCCGCUCUUCAUUUGGCUCCAUAUCUUUUCAAUUGGUAUUUGAUACCAUAAUUGUUUUAUUAAACUUUUUUAUAGAACAAAUUGCUUUGAAAGCUGUCAAAGUUUUUUGCAAACGUACAAAAUACUGUAGUGU